GACGAACGCUGGCGGCGUGCUUAACACAUGCAAGUCGAGCGGUAAGGCUCCUUCGGGAGUACACGAGCGGCGAACGGGUGAGUAACACGUGAGCAAUCUGCCCUUCUCAUCGGAAUAACCAUUGGAAACGAUGGCUAAUGCCGAAUACGACUUCCUUUCGCAUGUCAGGAAGUGGAAAGCUCCGGCGGAGAAGGAUGAGCUCGCGGCCUAUCAGCUUGUUGGUGAGGUAAUGGCUCACCAAGGCGACGACGGGUAGCCGGCCUGAGAGGGUGACCGGCCACACUGGGACUGAGACACGGCCCAGACUCCUACGGGAGGCAGCAGUGGGGAAUAUUGGACAAUGGGCGAAAGCCUGAUCCAGCAACGCCGCGUGAGGGAUGACGGCCUUCGGGUUGUAAACCUCUUUCAGCAGGGACGAAGCGAAAGUGACGGUACCUGCAGAAGAAGGACCGGCCAACUACGUGCCAGCCGCCGCCGUAA
rnacentral:rRNA from 1 species